rnacentral:lncRNA from 1 species
GGGGAAAUUCGCUUUCGAUAUAGAGAAGGAUCUCAAGAAUCAUGAAGCGAAACUUUGAUUGAUUUAUUCGGCUGCCUUAUAAGGAGAGAGUUGAGGGUCUUGAAGAUCGCAAGUAGUAAAUCAAGAUGGCUUACUCGUUUGUAUCUAAGGAACUCAGUUGAGAAAUGGGAACUUAAGGAAAACUUAGGAGGAGCGGAAUGAAGAUAAUUUAAGUGGAUUAUAUGAGGACUGUUAUGUACACAAGGUUAGUUAGAAAAGACGUGGGAGAAGGAACUCAAGUUCUACCAGAAGAUUAAACUAGAUGAGUAGAGAAGAGAUGUUAAGUGAACGUCGAAGAAGAUUGAUGAGUUAAGGAAUAUGUAUGACCGUAAGACAUAUGGGAAUGCCAAGGUUGUUAAAAUAUCAGAGGAUGUAUCAAUACAUAAAGUAUGAAGUCGUCGUACAAGAGUACACAGUUGGUAAAUCAAGCUUGGUAUAGACGGACCUGUUGAUCAUGGGAAACAUCAGAGAGAUUAACUUGUUCAGAAGAUUAUGAAGAGGGUCUCAGAUAGAUCAGAAGUGUAAAGAAUACUGUAAGUGAAAUCAUUCUUGGAAUGGGUGAGUGUGUGUAUUUGAGAGUAGCACCCCUGGUCCGAAUCAUGUUGGCGUGAUUGAUCGUGCAUGUUCUUGUUUGAUUGUUGCACGGUUAAUCAAGUUAACAUUGACCAGACUGUAGACGUUACAUUCACGUAUGGCACAUCACCUAACGUUCCAAAUUUCAUGUUGUUGUUAUGGGGGAAAGCCAGAUAGAAAAGGUUGAGAAGUUAUAGUCUACAGAUACAAGAUUGUUAGGAAAAGUAUGCAGACCGCAGUUGACAAUAGUUGUGCAAAGUAAAGAAUUUGGUUAUCUUGAAAGUGGCUGCUCAGAAAAGAAAGGAUCAGUUGGGGGAAUCAAGGAAUCGACCAUGAGUUGUUUUGAUAUGGGCAAAUGAAGAUAAGUUCAGAGCUAAUACCCAGAACUCGUUUCAAAGACAAUGUUCAAUAAAGUGUGUACAGCUAUGUUCUCAGAA